GGUAGUCCACGCCGUAAACGAUGAGUGCUAGGUGUUGGAUCCUUUCCGGGAUUCAGUGCCGCAGCUAACGCAUUAAGCACUCCGCCUGGGGAGUACGACCGCAAGGUUGAAACUCAAAGGAAUUGACGGGGGGCCCGCACAAGCGGUGGAGCAUGUGGUUUAAUUCGAAGCAACGCGAAGAACCUUACCAGGUCUUGACAUCCCGAUGCUAUUUCUAGAGAUAGAAAGUUACUUCGGUACAUCGGUGACAGGUGGUGCAUGGUUGUCGUCAGCUCGUGUCGUGAGAUGUUGGGUUAAGUCCCGCAACGAGCGACAACCCUUUAAGUUUAGUUGCCAUCAUUAAGUUGGCACUCUAGACUGACUGCCGGUGACAAACCGGAGGAAGGUGGGACGACGUCAAAUCAUCAUGCCCCUUAUGAUUUGGGCUACACACGUGCUACAAUGGACAGGUUACAAAGGGCAGCAACGCCGCAAGGCCAAGCGAACUCCCUAUAAAACGUGUUCUCGAGUUCGGAAGUUGGAGUCUGACUACUCGACUCCAGUAGG
rnacentral:rRNA from 1 species